rnacentral:rRNA from 1 species
GAUGAACGCUAGCGGCAGGCUUAAUACAUGCAAGUCGAGGGGCAGCAAAGGUAGCAAUACUGGGUGGCGACCGGCAAACGGGUGCGGAACACGUACACAACUUACCUUAGAGUGGGGGAUAGCCCAGGGAAACUAGGAUUAAUACCCCAUAAAACUGGGGGCCCGCAUGGGCAUAUUGUUAAAGAUUUAUCGCUUUAAGAUGGGUGUGCGUAUGAGUAGGUAGUUGGUAGGGUAAAGGACUACCAAGCCGACGAUCAUUAACUGGUGUGAGAGCACGACCAGUCACACGGGCACUGAGACACGGGCCCGACUCCUACGGGAGGCAGCAGUAAGGAAUAUUGGUCAAUGGACGGAAGUCUGAACCAGCCAUGCCGCGUGAAGGAUGAAGGUCCUCUGGAUUGUAAACUUCUUUUAUAGGGGGCGAAAAAGGGCCAUUCUUGGUCAACUGACGGUACCCUAUGAAUAAGCACCGGCUAACUCCGUGCCAGCCGCCGCGGUAAUAC